rnacentral:rRNA from 1 species
CGUGUAGGCGGUUGGUCAAGUCUGGUGUGAAAGCCCGGGCUUAGCCCCGGAAGUGCGCUGGAAACUAGCCAACUUGAGCGCGGAUAGAGGAGGGUGGAAUUCCUGGUGUAGCGGUGAAAUGCGUAGAUAUCAGGAGGAACACCGGCGGCGAAGGCGGCCCUCUGGAUCGUUGCUGACGCUGAGACGCGAAAGCGUGGGGAGCAAACAGGAUUAGAUACCCUGGUAGUCCACGCUGUAAACUAUGGGUACUAGGUGUUCGGGGUGUUGACCCCCUGAGUGCCGACGCUAACGCAUUAAGUACCCCGCCUGGGGACUACGGCCGCAAGGCUAAA